ACUUAUGCCUUCCUCCCUCACCCUCUUGCCACGCCGUCCCGGUCUACUCUUCCCUCCCGAACCGACGACACCCUUGGAACCUUGAAGCCGCAGUGCCGCCUCCUCUUCUCAUCGCAGACGCCAAGCACUCGCCGGAAACCGAAGCCACCACCAUCUCCUUCCUCUGCCCUAGUGUUGACGGCCUCCCCUCUGCCCUAGCUCCCGAUCGUCGCCGACCUUCUCCCCAGCUAGGAUUGAGAGCUAUGAGCUUCGAUAGCUGUAAUCAGCGGUUGAGUCUGAGACACAGGUGGCCUGUGAUUGCAGCCGCCCACCCUUCGAUCGGUUGAGUCAAGCCCUAGCUCGAUCCAUCAUAGUUUUAGGGCUUCCAGCGGCCAAAUUAAGUGGACCAACAGGGGAGCAUCUGAGAUUUGGGGACUUUGAUUCGAGACAGGCAUCUCGACGUUGGAUUACUGGAUACGAUCCUAUAUUUUGAGGCGGGUACCUCUGACUUAUCUCCUUGAUAUGGUCAUUUUUUAUAUGCAUAAUAAUUUAUAGCUAGUAGUAAUGAUUGUGUUUACUUCUGCUUUGGUAUGUCACUUCUUGGUUCUUGUGGUCUGCCUAUAUUCCUAUCUAUUAUGCAUUUAUACUUAUAUUCUCUUAUUUGUUGCCAUGAUUACUCUUGUUCAUAGAAAUAGUGACAUACAUUGCCCUAUUGUGUAGUAGUCUAGUUAUUUGACAUGUCUGACUUGUGUACUUAGUUUAUUGUUACCUAGAUCAUUGCAUGGAUUUAUUUCCUUUUUGGUACAUUUUAUAUGGAGGUGUAUACUGUCAGUAUCUACAUGUUAGUGUCAUGCACCAUCUUGCAUGAUUGCAUGAUGAGCGAUUGUCGGCUCCAUUGUUGUUGAGUACAUCGUCAGUUAUAUGGAUCUGCACACACAACCACUCUUGGGUUAGUGGUAUAUCAGGCAGGGUGUGUUGCAGCAGGUUGCUCUAUUAAGGGCUCUGCUGGCCCACUUAUGGGUAGUUGUGAUGCAGCGUGGUAGUAGGACAGGGAUCCCUCCUCUGGACCGUCUCGGGGAGAUGAGAGCAUUGAACUCCCCCACUUAUGACUUGGGGUAAGAUGAUAGGUGUAUUCCAACAACAUCCUGUCCACUCGAUCACUCAGAAGUAGUGAUGGUAGAGUACACAGUUGUCAUAGCCCUACCCACUCGGUCUCACCAUUGUGUAUGAGAUGGCUGACUGGCGUCAGGGGUGACCAUGUCAUUUUUGCAUCAUAUGCAUGGAUUGCAUUUAUUGUUUAUGCUUGCUACAUUAUGUAUGUUGCAUUUUGGUGGUUGCAUAUGAUUGACAUGCAUACAGGUGACAUUUUGUAUCUGGUCUGAUGACCCUUAUUUCCGGAUAGGAGGUUCUGGUGAGUACAGCUUCUCCCAUUUCAUUGAGUUUUGCAUUUUCCAUUAUUAUUCCAAGAGACUGUACGCAUAAUUGUUACUAUUGGUUAUUUCCUACUAUGCAUGUCAUCUUGGUAUCCACUGAAUGUUGGACUCACCCCAUUAAUAUAUUUUCUAUUUCAGGUUGAAGCUGUCAGAAGGUUCUAGUCGCUAGUCCCCACUAGGUGUUGAGGUGGUUUUAUAUAUAUUCGGAUUUGUGUUUCCUUGUUAGUGAACUACAUACUUGUGAUGUAUGUGUUUUGCACUUUGGAUUUUAUAUCGUGCUUCGGGUCUGAUGCCCACGUUUCCGCUGCAAAGGUUUUCCGAUGUGUGUGUUGCCCUUGUUGUAGUGGAGUAAGCAUUAUUAUAAACUGUGUGGUUGUGUAGUCAGCCGAAGGCUGAUUUAUUAUUAACUGCGUGGAUUGUUUAUUUUUAUCUAUUAUAUAUUCUAGCCAUGUUGGCUGAUGGUUGUGAA